ACUGGGGAACUUGAGUGCAGAAGAGGAGAGUGGAAUUCCACGUGUAGCGGUGAAAUGCUAAGAGAUGUGGAGGAACACCAGUGGCGAAGGCGACUCUCUGGUCUGUAACUGACGCUGAGGAGCGAAAGCGUGGGGAGCGAACAGGAUUAGAUACCCUGGUAGUCCACGCCGUAAACGAUGAGUGCUAAGUGUUAGGGGGUUUCCGCCCCUUAGUGCUGCAGCUAACGCAUUAAGCACUCCGCCUGGGGAGUACGGUCGCAAGACUGAAACUCAAAGGAAUUGACGGGGGCCCGCACAAGCGGUGGAGCAUGUGGUUUAAUUCGAAGCAACGCGAAGAACCUUACCAGGUCUUGACAUCCUCUGACAAUCCUAGAGAUAGGACGUCCCCUUCGGGGGCAGAGUGACAGGUGGUGCAUGGUUGUCGUCAGCUCGUGUCGUGAGAUGUUGGGUUAAGUCCCGCAACGAGCGCAACCCUUGAUCUUAGUUGCCAGCAUUCAGUUGGGCACUCUAAGGUGACUGCCGGUGACAAACCGGAGGAAGGUGGGGAUGACGUCAAAUCAUCAUGCCCCUUAUGACCUGGGCUACACACGUGCUACAAUGGACAGAACAAAGGGCAGCGAAACCGCGAGGUUAAGCCAAUCCCACAAAUCUGUUCUCAGUUCGGAUCGCAGUCUGCAACUCGACUGCGUGAAGCUGGAAUCGCUAGUAAUCGCG
rnacentral:rRNA from 1 species